GACGGAGGGUGCAAGCGUUGCUCGGAAUCACUGGGCGUAAAGGGUGCGUAGGUGGCCAGGUAAGUUUGGUGUGAAAGCUCGGAGCUUAACUCCGAAAAGUCAUUGAAUACUAUCUGGCUGGAGGGUCGGAGGGGAGACUGGAAUUCUCGGUGUAGCAGUGAAAUGCGUAGAUAUCGAGAGGAACACCAGUGGCGAAGGCGAGUCUCUGGACGACUCCUGACACUGAGGCACGAAAGCUAGGGGAGCAAACAGG
rnacentral:rRNA from 1 species